UGCAUAUCAAAUAAGCGGAGGAAAAGAAACCAACAGGGAUUGCCUUAGUAGCGGCGAGUGAAGCGGCAAUAGCUCAAAUUUGAAAUCUGGCACCUUCGGUGUCCGAGUUGUAAUUUGAAGAAGGUAUCUUUGGUUUUGGCUCUUGUCUAUGUUUCUUGGAACAGGACGUCACAGAGGGUGAGAAUCCCGUGCGAUAAGAUGCCCAAUUCCAUGUAAAGUUCCUUCGACGAGUCGAGUUGUUUGGGAAUGCAGCUCUAAGUGGGUGGUAAAUUCCAUCUAAAGCUAAAUAUUGGCGAGAGACCGAUAGCGAACAAGUACUGUGAAGGAAAGAUGAAAAGAACUUUGAAAAGAGAGUGAAAAAGUACGUGAAAUUGUUGAAAGGGAAGGGCUUGAGGUCAGACUUGGUUUACCAGGCCAGCAUCAGUUUGGAUGGCAGGAUAAUAGCUAAGAAAAGUGGCACAGCUUCGGUUGUGUGUUAUAGUCUUGGUUGAUACUGCCUGUCUAGACUGAGGACUGCGUCUUUGACUAGGAUGCUGGCAUAAUGACCUUAAGCCGCCCGUCUUGAA
rnacentral:rRNA from 1 species